AUGUUACUAGAGGGGAUUUUGUUUCACAAUACAUAGUGGGCGUAUCUUUUGUUAAAUUGUUUAAUGAAAGGUUAAAUGUAAACAUGGUGCUGAUUUUGUAUACAUAUAUUUCUAUUGUAGAUCAUGGCAACUCCUGCACCAUCCAGUUUUAACUUGUGGUCUAUUCUUGAGAAAGAGAAGUUGACUGGAACAAACUUCAUGGAUUGGUAUCGCAACCUGAGAAUUGUUCUCAGGCAAGAGCACAAAGAGUUUGUGCUUACAGAGCCUUUUCAGCUAACUUGCCCAACAAUGCUCCUGCUGCUCAACGUAGAGAGCAUGAAAAGCGAUGCAAUGAUUAUCUUGAUAUAAGCUAUCUCAUGCUUGCUACUAUGUCCCCUGAGCUUCAAAGGCAAUAUGAGGCAUUGGAUGCUCAUACGAUAAUCAAGGGACUACGUAACAUGUUUGAAGACCAAGCAAGAGCUGAGAGGUUUAAUACCUCAAAGUCCUUGUGUCGGAUCCCAAAACUAACAAUUUAGAAACUGACAUGUUUAACUGUAUCAAGCCCUGGAUCAGUAGAUUGAUACAGGUUCAACGAUCUGGAUCUUCAUCGCAUACAUUUGGUCAAGAUUCCAAAGGAGAUAUCUUUAUAUAAAAUAAUAGGAUAUUUACAAGUUUGUGGCUAACUACUACAGCAAAAGCUAUACGAUGAUCCAACUCUGCUGUUUUACUAUAGAAUUAAACCAUCUAAUUAUACUAGACUUGAAGAUUAGGUUAAAAGGGAACUAACUUAUGUGAUUGAACUCCUAGCUUCGGCAAAAACUCCAAUUAGACUCUGAAAAAGAUAGGUUGAAGCAAGGGUGAGUACAACGUACUCAGCAAGCUAUUAUAUUAUUCAACAAUCAAUGCAUGAGAGGUAAUAUCUGUGUAGAGCUAGAUUUACUUGUAGAAAGCUGACAAUAAAGAGGUAGAAAUCCUGAAAUGCUGAUAUGCAACAACAUUUAAGAAAAUAUUGAAUUAUAUUUCUAACCAAAGUACUAUAUGAGUCCCGAUGCUCAAAUCCGUGAGCACGGCUAUUCGAAUAGAUUCAAUGAUAUUCAUACUGUAGUAGAUGUACGCUUUACCCGCAGUCCAUAGCUUGCCAAUAAUCAUUAGCUUAGUCAUGGCCCAGUAUUAAGUUAUUAACAAUAGUGGCACCUGUUCCAUGAACUCUAGUCCCCAUGCGCUCUGAACGUAACGUUAUCAGCAGUGAGAGGAGUUCUGGUGUUCCCGAGGUUUUUCAGAGAGAACUGGAUGACAGACCCCACGUCAUCUCAACCAAGUUUCCAUAAAUUCACACACACACAUUGCACGACAAUCAAGAUAUUUACCUGCGCCUCGGUAAAUAUCACAUUUGCCCUGCUCGGCAUAUAUUUGCCUCCUUCGCGAGGACUUACAUAAGAACCACUAUACAGAGGCACCACAUUGUUAAUUAACAUAAUAUCUAGGUCUGUCCCCAUUCUAGAAGCUGCGGUCGUACUCGUUCGUUUGUACUUGGUAAACUUAUAUCGACCGAAACAGUACUAGCCACCCGGAAAUCAACCAAAUCUUACGUACUGUCCCAAUCUAAGUUCAUUAUAUUUUAUGCAAUCUAACUAGGCAGGGCUAAGCAAAAGCUAGCAUAUAAUUAGUUUGCUAUAUGUUCAGGUUAUGCAUUCAAAAUCAUGAAUGACUAAUGCAUAGAAUAGAAAUAUAGAAUAUAGGGUAAUUAUGCUCAAGGGUAGGAAUAAUAACUUGCCUUGCUCCAACGCAAAUAAAUCCAAGAUAGGCAACCUGAUUAUCCGAUUCUCGAAAUACCAUAGGCUGCCAUCCAAAAGACAAUAGACUACUGAGAAAGAGGAAGAACCAAUUUCAAUAAAAGCCAUAAAAUAAUAAGAAAACGAUAAACGGUAAAGAGGGCUUGGGUUUAGGGUAUAGCAUAUCUCUUUUGUAGGGCAUAGAGAUUACUGGGCUAAUAUUUUAUGUGGAAGUUCUAGAGGGUUGGAGGCUAAGGUAAAAAGGGAAUCAAGCAACUAAUGUUGCUUAUAUUUUAUGUGAAGACUCUCGUGGUUUGGAUGAUAGGAAAUAUACUGGAUAGUUGAUAUGGUUAAAUAGGUAUGUGGCUAGUAUGGGUCAAGGUUGGGCUUUUGUAGAAUAGUGGCUAGUGUUUAGUUGUUUAGGCCGACAUCGAGGUAGGAUAAUAUCGGCUAGGGUUUUGGGUGUUUGCUAGUCGUCGUUAGAGUUGGGUAGCAUGACGACUAGGUUUGGUAUCAUUUCUAGCCGUGUCGAUAGACAGCAUAUCGGCUAGAAGAAUAGGAGGUGGGUGCAGGUUUAGUGGGGUGGAAGUGUUACUCCAUCAACCGUGAGUGGCGACGGAGCGGCUAGGAUCACACAGAGCCCGAGAGCUAACUGUGCGGCGUGCAAUGGAGGUCGAGGGGAUAGUGAAGCUCCGACCGCUGUACGCAUCAAGGCGUGGGGUGCCAGGAGCAGCACUUCGACCUUAGGUUUGGUUUUUGCCGGGCUUUACAACCAACGGUUCGACGUUGAGGUCCAUAGACCGUGCAAACGUUCCCAUGGAAGGCGUAAAGUUUCAACCGGCGACUUUUUAGUGGCUAAAGGGCAUUUUGGAAAUAAAAGAAAAUAUUUGAAAAGCAAAUAUAAGUUUAGGUUUUAAAUUCAAUUAUAAGAUCAAAUAUUUAUUCAAAUGGUAUUCGAAUAAAAUAAGGAAAUUCAAAUAAAAUCUUAAAAUAGCAAAUUUGGUAUCAAAAUGAAGAGUUUGAAUUUAGAUAAAUUGAGGUCCAAAUUUCACUGGAAUCGGAUCUACGGUUUAGGAGAUAUGGGCUUCUAAAGAUUGAGAUUUGAAUUAAAUCUAGAAAAUACGAAAAGGUACUAUUUUAUGGGCCCACCUGUCAGCCUUUCUUCUUUAUCUUUUCUUCUUCUUCCUCUUCUUCUUCCCGUUCCUUCUUCUCUGUUCCAGACAGAGCCGAGAGAAGAGAGAGAGGAGAAGGCAAGCGGGGCGACGGCGCUCCGGUGGCUGGAGGGCGGCGACGUCGGCAGUAUAUCGUGUUCCCGGGCGACGCCCACUCGGGGAGGGUGGUAGCUAGCCAAGGGAAAGAGGGAGAUGGCCGGAACGGCGGCGACAAGAGCUCAGCUCCGGCGGUAAGAGAAGGUGGUGGUGGCGGUUUAUCUCAAGGUGGAGGGAGAGGGGAAAGGGGAAAAAUGGAAUCACCUCGGCGAGGCGGAGUUGGUGGCGCAAGAGUUUGGCUU
rnacentral:lncRNA from 1 species